AAUCAGUGACUCUGAGAUGCUUUAAGAUCUUCUGUCCGUCUCUUCCAUCAUCUCUCACAUGGAGCUCCAGUCCUGAACACCUCAUCAAUGCAAACAUCACACAACAGCAGCAUCAAAGCCAAACACAUUACUACUCUGAUCUGAUGUUCACUGUAACUCAUCAUCACCACAGAGCUGAAUUCACCUGCACUGCAACACAGCAGCAGAUCACAACACACAGCACCCGACAGCUACAUGUUCAGUAUGCUCCUAAAAGUGUCUCUGCUCAUGUGAGUCCAGCUGGUGUGAUUGUGGAGGGUCAUUCAGUGACUCUGAGCUGCAGCAGUGAAGCAAACCCAGCAGUCAAAUACAGCUGGUACAGACACACUGAAGAAAACCUGAAACCACUGCAGACUGGACCAAACCUGACUGGACCAAAUCUGACCAUCAAAAACCUGAUCAAAACAAAUCUGACAGAAACAAACCUUUCCAUUAGCAACACAAACCAGACUGAGAUAAACCUGACUGGACCAAACCUGACCAUCAGCAACAUCAACCGGUCUCACAGUGGACGAUACUACUGUAGAGCUGAAAACCAACACGGGACUCAGAACACAUCAGUGCUGCUGGACGUCCAGUUUCCACCCAAAAUCUCCAGCUUUUGUAGCCGAAACAACACACUCAGAUGCGUCUGUAAGGUUGAAGGGAAUCCUCUGCCUAAACUACAGUGGCGUCUGUCUGGAAAAGUUCUCAAUUCCACUAACGAAAUGAAGAUAAGUGAGCAAACUGUAGGAAAAAUGAGUUUAGAGAGCAUCCUGACCAUCCGUCAGUCUCUCUCAGACUCAUCAGUCCUGCAGUGUUGGACUGCAAACGCUCACGGAUCCGCCAGCCACCAGUUUCAGCACAUCACAACAUUACCAGACACAGGUCUUCAUACUGGAUGUGUGCUGCUGGGAUUCGCCAUCGGAGCAUCGCUCAUCCUGAUCUUCUGUGUUCUGACCGUCUGCAACCAACGAAAAAAGUAUAGAAAACUUGCCGAAAGCACUCGAGACGACACAUCUGGACUCAUUCUGACGCAAAG
ensembl:processed_transcript